AGACCCGAAACCCGGUGAUCUAGCCAUGGGCAGGUUGAAGGUUGGGUAACACUAACUGGAGGACCGAACCGACUAAUGUUGAAAAAUUAGCGGAUGACCUGUGGCUGGGGGUGAAAGGCCAAUCAAACCGGGAGAUAGCUGGUUCUCCCCGAAAGCUAUUUAGGUAGCGCCUCGUGAAUUCAUCUCCGGGGGUAGAGCACUGUUUCGGCUAGGGGGCCAUCCCGGCUUACCAACCCGAUGCAAACUGCGAAUACCGGAGAAUGUUAUCACGGGAGACACACGGCGGGUGCUAACGUCCGUCGUGAAGAGGGAAACAACCCAGACCGCCAGCUAAGGUCCCAAAGUCAUGGUUAAGUGGGAAACGAUGUGGGAAGGCCCAGACAGCCAGGAUGUUGGCUUAGAAGCAGCCAUCAUUUAAAGAAAGCGUAAUAGCUCACUGGUCGAGUCGGCCUGCGCGGAAGAUGUAACGGGGCUAAACCAUGCACCGAAGCUGCGGCAGCGACGCUGAUGCGUUGUUGGGUAGGGGAGCGUUCUGUAAGCCUGCGAAGGUGGCCUGUGAGGGUUGCUGGAGGUAUCAGAAGUGCGAAUGCUGACAUAAGUAACGA
rnacentral:rRNA from 2 species